rnacentral:rRNA from 1 species
CGUCGACCGGCGCACGGGUGAGUAACGCGUAUGCAAUCUACCUUUUACCCGGGGAUAGCCCAUGGAAACGUGGAUUAAUACCCGAUGCAUUUCUUUUGUGUCCUCAUUAAAGAAAUAAAGAUUCAUCGGUAAGAGAUGAGCAUGCGUUCCAUUAGGAAGUUGGUAAGGUAACGGCUUACCAAUCCGAUGAUGGAUAGGGGUUCUGAGAGGAAGGUCCCCCACACUGGAAUUGAGAUACGGUCCAGACUCC